GACACCUCACUGGUCAGCUCCCCUAUUAUGGGACCUUCAACACCAUUGGGUGAUGUUAGUAUGGUCCAAAGUGCUGGUGGAUCCAUGAGUGACAAGGCAUCUGAUAGCAGCAGCCCGAUGGCAGCUGUAGUGGAAAGCAUAGAAGAAACUGAGCCAAUAGUGCCCAAGAGCCAUGUAAGUUGAUAGGAAGUUUGUUUGCAAAUACAUAGGUCACGGGUUUUCUUUUUCUUCUUUUUAGACCUCGUUUCCUUCACUUAUACUAGAGCCAUGUUGAGUGUUGUGAUUGUAAUGGGAUUUGCUUUUGCUCGGCUGUGUAACAAAUAUACGUUGUCCACUAUAUAUAUAGCAG
rnacentral:lncRNA from 1 species